GCGGGGACGGGGCGGAAGGAGAAAAUAGAUUGUGCCCGAAAGACAGCGGCUUCCAGGUUUUAAAUUACUUAUCGGUAAAGAGGAGGACGAAGACAUAGCAGUUUUUGAAUUUCUUACACCUCUGUAUACCCCUGAGGCGGGAGAAAGGGGGUUGGAGGGGCCGUCCCAUUCCCUUCCGCUUUCCCCGCCCCAGCCCCAACUCUGGGAGGCGUCACAGGCGCCCGAGACUUUCGUGGCAAAGCCUUUGGUUUCCGGGCUCCCACAGCCUCGGUCGGCUGCCAGCCUCCAACAAAGACGGCACAGGGCGGUCGCUGGGUCAGACCGGUGCCAUCCCAGUGCCGCCCGCCCCGAACCGGCCGCGCAGGCUCAGUCCAGCCCGGUUGGCGCAUGCUCCCUGCGCACCCCAUUCACCCCCCCCAGCCCCAGCCGCUGCAGCCGCCCCCGCGGCAGCCCGUGUUCCCUGUGCUGGAACAGCUGCGGUCCCCUGGCAGCAGCUGCUGCGGGCAAGCAUCACACCGCUGCAGCCGCCACCAUCCCCCGAGGAGACACACGCAGCGCCACAUCUCGGCACAGCACGGCUUUUCCAGCCGCCCCAGGUCGCAGCAGGUCCCGCCGCGGCGGAAAGCGGCUCACAGCCGAUCCGUGGAGCAACAGCGCCGCCUUGUGGAACAAAGGCAGCGUUGCAACAAGCAUUGCAAAGGCGGCAGGAAAAAUAAUGUAAAAUAAUUUAAAUCCAGGGUAUACAGAAUCGUCCACAAUCAAUUGAGGCCCUUAAAGCAUGCCUUGCAGAAGAAGACCAUGACACACUACAUCAUUCCAGGAAAAAUGGACAUGCCAAGCCAAGACGCCUCACACACUGGACAGGAUGCCAGCACUCAAGCCAUGGAUGAUCCACAUCAACAACAAUUUCCUGUACCACAGGAGAACAGCAACAAGAAUGUUAUCUCCAUCACAGCAGGACAAGGCAUUCCUAUUUCAUCUAAAGAACCAGCUGGCUUCUGGACAUCAAGAGACGCUUCAGCUUUUUAUAUGCCUGCUCCAAAAACUUGGCUUUCAGGUCAAAAGUCCAGUUCUUCAACUCAACCAAGAUUUUUUUUUCACUUUCUCAGGAUUUUAUAAAACGACUUUUUCUCCAGCUUCAGAAAUUUGCUCAUUGCUUUUCAGGACAAAAGCAUGGAACUCACUCUCUUCCAUUCACUUCAUCAUCAACGCAUACAGCAAGUGCAGUUACUGCCUCUUCAGUUCCUCAAUAUCCAGAACCUGACAGCCUUUUUACCUCCCCUCAAACAGAAGGAAGAGGGUGCCUGAAAUGUAUGCUCCCUUUGGGCCAGAGGAAGUUGCAUCCAGGCAAAGGGCAACCCCACCAGAUGUGGCUCCUAUUCCCAGAAAUAACUGAAGAGACGUUUCAUUGAUGAACUGAGCAAAUAUCAGAAGGACAGCAUUAUGAAAUAAAGACUAUGGCAUACUAGAUACAAACAGCAUUGCAAUGCCAGUGAGGUACGAGAGAAGAGAUGAAAACCCCAGAUAUGAACCCAUGACUCAUGAAAUCUUGAAAGACUUAUGACAAGCCUCAAAAAAUAAAGGACUUGGUUCACCAUAUUUCAAACAGCUUUGAGCUUCCUCAAGGAGGAAGAGAGAACACUGAGGGCGAGACAGAUGGGAAAUGGCAUGGAGAGCGAAAAAAAAAUUUCAAAAAUAUCCACCCAGUCCAAAGGCAGCAAAAGGCAUGGCAUGCCAGCAAGUGCCAGGCUAUGGGCCAAAGCACAUUCUAUCUUCCUCCUUGAUUUUUCCCCUGAUUUUGCAGCAUCUCUGAUCUUUGUUUUGGCAUCCUUUGCCCCUUUCCACUGCAUCUCAUUUGCUCCCAGACCAUUUUCAUGUGCUCACUGCAUUUCCCAAUUUCCCAUUUUUUUUUUUUUUUCUCAGUGGCGUUUCACUUGGUCAUAUCUCCUUUCCAGAGUAUUUGGGAGUCUUUAUUUUCUGUUUCUCAAGUUUUCCUUUCCUUUCCGAAAGGAAAUUUGGAGUUUUAGGCCUCUAGGAUAUGUGGUAGAGUAACCUACAGUUAGUGAGUUACCUGAACAGGGAAAAAAACCACAAAACUUUGGAAGUAAUGCAGAUGUUAUUUUGAUAUUUCUACAUGACAAUUUUUCCUCAAUUUUUCUAUCAGCUCUUUAAUUGCCACAUAAUUUUUCUACAUGUUGACAGUUUCAUAAAGUUCUGUGAAUUAAGUAGCUUCUAAGAGUAAUUGGAAUAUGAGCUGUCUAAUAUGAUUGUAUUUCCUAUGUAAUUUCAUAUGCUUCUAUUUCUUUCAAAUGUUUUUUUGCAAGCAAAAAUGCAAACCAUAAGCAGUAUCAGUAAUUAUUCAGUAGUUAUUCCUUAUGUUUUUGCAAUUAAAGAUGUGUUUUCUAUAUUAUAUAAUGAAAUAAACUCCGCCAAAUUAUUGACAUUGCUUUUUCUUCAAAGAAAAAUUACAGGUUUUUUUUCUUUCUUUCAUAUGCCUCAUACUAUAGAUGUCUCUUAUUUCAUGGGUCUUAAAAGCAAAACCCUUUCUCAUUUUUUAUAAAGACUCUCAUUUUUUUUUCCUUCUCCAUUUCCUCCCUCCUAUUAAAUUCUCUGAGCCUUGGUUUCUUUUCUGCAAAAGUGAUUCAAUUUCCAGAGGAGAUAAUCAUAAUUGAAAUAAUAACAAUUGGGUUAAUAGGCAUAUCACCCCUUCUUCAUCCAAAGUACUUGUGUCCUGGUCAUCUAGGAAAACAGAGGGUGUGGGUUUGCAGUCUGAACUUUAGGAAGACGUGUAAUACAGGUCACCCACUCUGUCCAAAAUAGGUACAAUGAUAUAGUUUCAACAUUUCCAACAAUAGUACUAAAUCAAGGUGGCAGUGAAUGCUGUGUUUUAUGCUGAAAGUGGUGCAGCUGGGCAUUGUUAAGGGAGCUGGUUGCAAACCAGACCACUUUGGAAACAAAACCUGAAUUUAAAAUGGCACGAAGCAAAAGAUAGGUUGUGGGUGGCUUAGCUUUGCUUGUGUAGUGGUAUCUCUCAGCAUGGCUGCAUUAUACAUUAUGGUUCAGACCAGAAGGGUAAUUUUUCCCCUUGUUUGUCCAUUUUUGAGUAAAUCGCUCAUUUGUACUCUGUGCUGAAGUGCCAUCUAUGUAGGGUUCUCAAAAUGUACACAAUGGGUGUCUUUCCAAUUAUACUUUGCCAGAAAAAGCUUAUUUCAUCUGCCGAAGGAUUUUCAGUAAAUAGAAUUAGCCUAUGACUAGGUUGGGGUAAAACACUGGAAAAUGCUUGCAAUAUGGAUGCCAAGGUCCUCAGCACUAUUUGUUUUGCUGUACUCUUUAUUGAAUUAAAUUUACUAGUAAUAUAGAUAGACACAUUUAUGGAAGUCUUGGAAUGUAGGGAAGUUCACUAGUUCUGCUAAAGGUAUCUAGGGACUCUAUUGCCUAAGAGGUGUUGCUAUGGGGUUUUGUUUGAUUGUUUGUUUUGCUUUUUUGUUUGUCCUUUUAAAAAAAUAUUACUAAUGACUUUAAGUCACUAGAUUUUUUACAACUUUAGAUAUUUAUAAGAAUGGUUAUAUGCAAACAGAAAUGAUUGAGCUAAUGAUUAUCCUUAAAAUGUUAUUUCUGAGGGACAUUGCAUGUAGUCUUUCUUUUCCCUGAACUGAGGUUUAGCUUUCCUUGAAAAUAACAGAUGCAUUGAGGAAGAAUUAGAAAAACCUUCAGAGUUAGUUAGUUGUUAAUAAUUCUCCAGUAGAUGGAGGUAGAGAAUAGCGUGUUUUCCAAGAUGUAUAAAAAUAAUUUUUCCUCAAUGAUAGUGUGUACAUUUUCUGUCAAUCUUCCUAGGGUGUUUAUCAUAAAUGUUAAUAAGUUGCUGUUUGAGAAGAAGCUCAAGAGAGCACAGGCAACAGCACCCAGAUAAGAAUUCAAACCAUUUCCUCAUAUGAAAGGGUCGUAUGUUUUGCUUACCUUAGUAUAACUGCUAAACCCAUUUUGAAGUAUUUGUACUCCAGGUCUUACCAAGUACACAAUGAAAGGAUUGGCAUUUUACUCUGGCUUCAGAGUUCUCCCUUAUACUGUAACUGCUGCACUUCUCUGUACUGCAGGUGACAACUGCCACCUUCUAUCUUUCCUGGUGGACUUCAUUUCUCGCAGUGGUUAACUGCUUUGGAAGUACUUCAGUGUCAGCAAUAAUGGAUUUACUGAAAAGAGUCUGUAACUGCCAAGUUAUUUUGAGAGGACAACCACACUGUUUGCUUUGGGGAGCAGAGUGCUCUCUCUCCAGAAAUUAUGGUGUCUCAAGAAAUAGCAUAAUCCUCUUGAUCACGUCAUCCUAAGAAGAUCUGUCAUUUCUAGCUUGUCCUACAGUAUUUGAUUGCUUUUGCUAGUGAGUUUCUCAAAAGUUAAAAAAAAAAGUUUUUGUUCCUUGUCCUCUUUGCACUGGGGCUCCAAACAUACAAUUAUAUGACUUUCUUGUGCACACUGCUUUGUACUAUUUUACUUUAAAGCAAGCAAUACUAGUAAAGUUGAUAAAUUCAAAUUUUCUGUUUGCAAUGCUUCAUGCAAAACCAAUGAGAAAAGAACAAACCUUUACAUACCAUGAUAUGUACCUGUAUCAUGCUAUUAUUAGUGCAUUUUGUUGUUCUUUUUCCUGUAUACCUUAGACUAAACCAGUUUUACAUGCAAUUACUAUAGUAAUGUUGCAUUUUUUUAGAAGAAAAAUAAACUAAAAGAUCUUAUGAAGACUUUUACAAGAUUUCUAGCAAAACGUCACUCUUAUGCUAACAUAUAACAAAACAUCUAUUUGGAGCUUUCUUUCUUUUUUCUGGGUCUGUAUGCUUUUUGUUAAGUUCCACUAUAAAUUUGUUUGUUUGACUAUAGAUGUUUCUUUUAAUAUUUUGCUAUUCCAUAGCAACUGCAAUAUCUUCAGAAAAAGUACACCAUGGAGAUAUUAUUUUCAGGCACAAAAUAAUUUAACUAAUACCUUUGCUUUCUAACUUGCACUACUGCAUGUCACAAUCUGAUAUAAUUUUAAAGAUCGUGUAAAUUCUUGUACAUGAAGGAAAGAAGUGCACUAUUUACUGAACAAAAUAAAUCCUUUGACACAGAAAUUUCUGGCAACUGGCACCUGGUUCACUUGCUUACUUUGUGGAAGUGAUGGAGCAACUUGGAUGUUUAUAUUGACAUCAUUAUGUAAAACUUACUAAAAAUUUUAAAAAUUACUGUUACUACUUUUCUUAGGCAGAAAGAAAUCACGCUGGAGUUUAUUAUGGGUAAACCCAGAAAGUCUUUGCUCUGCUUUGUGCCAGACUAAAUCUUUAUGAUGGCACUACUGAGCCCUUGCCAAGAUACCCUGCCAGUGUAGUAGGGCUCUAUUGCAAGGAUACACCUUAACAGAGGAAAAGGUUAAAAAAAAAAAAAAGACAAGAAGAAAUAAUGAAGAAAAGACAGCAAUGCUCCCAGCCUCAGUAUGUUAUUCCACAUUUUCAUAAACUUCAUCCUUGUGAACUGAAUUGUUACUUGGAUAUGUGAGGAUGUGCAAAAACCCAAUUGCUCUUUCCAUUUGUAUAAAUAUUAUUUGGCGAUUUGAGAUAGUUCACUCUUUUUGCUGAUGUUUGUAGAGUUGAUUUUUUAACUCUGAUAAAUACUAUAGCAAUAAAAAAAAAGAAUAAUUAAGUUACUCUAACAAUUUAUCAGAUUAUGUAAACAUUUUCAGAAUAUAUGAAUAAUUGCUGUCAUUCACAAUACAUAAGGUGUGAUUACAAGGGUAACUUUGUAACAAAGGAAACCAUCCUUACAUAUAUUUGUAUUGUUUGAGUGUUAACUUCUACUUGUCAUGCCCCAGUGCUUUAAAUUUCAAGGUCAGCCAAACCUAUGAAAAAAAAUUUUCCUCUUCAAGUUCAUAAAUGCUGAACUUCAUUAACUUAAUAAUUAAAUAAACAUAAAAGUAAAAACCAAAAAUCUUCAAGAAAUUUCAGUAUUUUCAGCAUAUAGUAAAAAAAUCUGAGAUUUAUAAAAAUAUUUAUAAAAUGCAAUGUAAUUCUUCAUAUCUUCAAGUCAUGGAGUAGUUAUAAUAAAGAAAAAAUACUAUAUGGAAACACUCUUACAGAUUUACAAUAUUUUAUUAAUUUUUACCUCUAAAAUGUGGUUCAAGCAAAAACAAUUGAGAAAAAUUUUGGCUUGACCUUUGACACAUUCUUUGAGAAAAAAAAUUAGUAUUUUUAUUCUGAGCAGAUUCAUAUAUACCUUUGUUUUCUGCUUACUUAAUAACUAAAAAUAAUUGUGGAGCUUAUAGCCUAUACUUAGAAAAUAAAAGAAUCAUAGUAGUGACACCUUUGUUUCCUAUGUGGUGUGUGGAAAGAAUUAGAAAUAAAAAUUUCAACCUGGUUACAAUGUUUAGAAGGAACAUUUUGCCUGAGGCUGAAAUACCAAAGCAGCUGAAUACAUCUGAUAACAGGUAGCCUGUAAGAAAUAUUUGCAAAAUGGUGAAAGUCAGAGGCUUCAGUUCAAAGCAUGAGGCACAAAGUUCAGCUCAGGUCAAGACCCUGAUAUAGUUAUGGAUGUGGCUACUAAACAAAUCUGGGGUUUUGUUAUUCUCUUGAAACAUAAACUUGAAAGAGAACAUGCUCUGGAGUCUCUACAGACCCUUCUCUUGAAGCACAUAUGCAGGUUCUGGUCCCAAGUCUCAUGGAUUUUCAUGUAAAUUUUGUCUUGCAACUGCUUGAUGAAAAGUACACAAACUGACAUGGCAACAAGGAAAGAAGCUCUCAAGUGUCAUACAGAAUUCCUCUCUUGUAACACUGAGAGUCUCAAAGACUUUCCUACAUGCAGCAGCUUCUACAGCACAUGUGGAGAGGGCGGCAAUUGAGCCACAGUGGGAAGGUUUCCCAGCAUUGACACGCAAGUUUUGUGUUGUCCACUGUGUGAGACUUGACAUAGCUACAUAAUGACCUAUAAAAAUCUGUCUUUAAAUAUUUGUGUGGGUUUACUUGCUGUAUUGCACUGUGGAAAGACAUAAUGGCAUGUUGGGUCACAUGACUGAUAAUACACUGGCAUUGCUAUCAAGACUAUUUGGGGAUCGUAAUUAUGAAAAUUAUCAGGAUAAAGGAAAACUGAAAAGGAUUUAUUUUUUUAAAUUUCAGCAGAAGGAAGGCAGACUGUUCAAGUGACCUAUACAUCCACUUUGCAUUUCCAAGAAUAUUAUAAGCUUUAAUGUUAGUAAAUUUUGUGAAUGAACAUCAACGAAUACACCUUCAGCGCCCCAUGUGGCACUUUUUUUUAUACACUGCUUGUUUCAAUGACAUUGCAAAUAAUAUUUUUCUUCCCUUAUAGCUCAUACACAAGUAUUAAUAUAACACUAUAUAAAAGGAUGAAAUUGCAUGCAAUGGUAAAUCACCAGGGCAACAGGGAACUCUUCACAGCAUUAUAGUGUUGAUUUUCCAUUUCAGAAACUCUAAAAAAUAUUACUUUUGCAGAAAUAGCCAUCAAGCUGGGAGCAAAAAAGAAAACAGUAUUUUCAAAAGCCAGUUAAAAGGUGUGAAUCAUACUACUGUUAAGACAUUUCAGUUUUGUGUGCAUGUCUGUUUAUAUUUACUCACAAUUUAAUGUGAGUUUUUUACUGUUAAAAGUGAAUGUCUUCAAAUGAAAUUUAUGACAAGUUUUUGAACUAAAGGAUGAUUAUUAAUAUAUUGCCACAUUGCUGUUUUGCCAGUACUGGAAGAUUGUUUCCACUGAAACACUCCUUGCUAAAUGUCAAAAUGCAAAACUUAAAACAUUCAUAUUUUCUAAAUGUUUUAUCUCAGAUACUUUGAAUUCUCUGAUCUAACUAAUGCUACAUUUGCUGCAUAUAAUUUUUAAACUAGGUCAUUUCUUUGUGGUUCUGAAAUAAAAUUUCCACAUGAUCAUA